UACUAAACCUGUAGGCAUUAAUUAUUCCAUCGUGAUGCGUGUAGUCAUUCGUGACAGCGCUACACACUGAAAGCAACCUUCUGAUAAGCGUCACAAUUCGGUUACAAGAAACUUUAAAGUUCCAUAAAUGCAUACCUUUGCCUUAUAACAAAGGCAUAAAUGUUUUUUUUGGUUUUUUUUUUUUUUUUUUUUUUUUCCCCCACGUUAUAUCAGUGGCACGGAAGUAGCUGGCAACGCAAGUAAUCCGGGCGCUGCAGCUUUAAGUAGCUGCGCGCGCUCCCGCGGACGGCAAUCACUUUUUGGCACAACACCUGUUAUGGGAGUCGGCUGGCGUGCAUAUUGAUUGACUGGAUGAUAUCCUGCGCAAAUUUGCGUAACUUCCCUAAACCCAACACCCCCUAGAAUUACUGGCUUUUUUAUUUUCUGGUGCAAGUCCCGAGGUGUUAAGCACCCCUGCUGAGAUUUUCACAGGUUGUCAGCUUGUUUCUCCUACAGCUUUUGUUGUACAAACCACCCGUUGUCCUUGAGGCCUGGCACAUUUGCAUUUGCUCACUCAGAGUUGCUCAGAUCCAAGGCAGGCCAAACCUCUGUGUUACAACUUUCAGAAAUGCCUGCCGUAUCUAUACAAAAUAUCCCACACAUUGACUGACCUGCAAAUAUAAAAGACACACAUUCACACCUUCCUUGACUCUCAGCACAGAUCUUCCAUUGUUCCAUCGUCACUGUGUAUGUGACGGAGUGGCAUUGCUUGCCUACAGCACAGUGCUGUGCAUAAAAGCAGACCGACCCAGGCCGGAGAAUCAUUUCUUGUUCGCAUUUCUGAGAACGCACAUCAGGAUGGCCUCCGUAUCACUGCCACGCAGGAAGAACCUCUCCACGCAACAGGCUUUGGCCUUACUUCGGGAAAUGGACGAAGCAGAUUCUGAUGGAGGAGAGGUUUCAUUUGUCCAGCAGGCCACUGAUACCUCUUCAGAAGAAUCUGAAAAUGAGACGGAACAAGAACCCAACAUGCCUCCACGGAAGAGGCCCCGUGGUACUGGGAAGCCCAGCCAGAACCACACGGCAAAAGACGGCACUGUGUGGGUUGAGGAGGACAUUGGAAUGCCCAGUGCAGAAGCAAAUCGUUCGUGCUUCACUGCGCAAGCUGGACCCACAGAGUCUGCUAAGCGUAAAGUUACAAGUGUGCUCCAAAGCUUCCUUUGCCUGUUAGACGUGGGAAUGCUGCAGACCAUCAGAGAGUGCACGGUACAUCAAGCCCGCAGAACAGAGCCGGACUGGAAUUUGGCAGUUCAUGAACUUAUGGCAUCCAUUUCAAUCCUGUUUGUAAGAGCAAUCAUGUGUCCUGUUGGUGCCAUUGUGGAUUGCUGGUCAGAAAGUUUUCUGGUGCCACUAAUCAAAGAGACAAUGCC
rnacentral:lncRNA from 1 species